rnacentral:rRNA from 1 species
CCAGGAGUAAAAUUGGGCGCAGCCUGAUCAGCCUGCCGCGUGAUUGAUGAACGCCUUGAGGCUCGAAAGUUCUUUUAACUACAGUUAAAAUCCCUGAACGUGGAUCAAUUGGAGGGAAGUCUGGUGCCAGCAGCCCCGGUAAUACUCCAACCC